CGGUCGCGCCUGAAAGGGUGAGGAAAGUCCGGACUCCGCAGGGCGGAGGACCUGGCCGUCAAGGCCAGGAGGGCGGUGGCAAACGCCGCCGAUGGAAAGCGCAGCAGAGAGCAGACAGCCCCGCAAGGGGUGAUGGUGAAAGGGUGGGGCAAGAGCCCACCGGCGCGGCUGAAACGCCGUGCGCAAGGCAAGCCCUCCUCGGAGCAAGAUCAAAUAGGGGGCUGAACGGGCGGCCCGUCCGGUUCUCGUCCGCAAGGAUGAGGUGAAGUCCCGGGUUGAUUGCUCAGAUGAAUGACCGGAGUUCCCCUCGGGGAAUGAACAGAAUCCGGCUUAUUCGCCG
rnacentral:RNase_P_RNA from 1 species